UCGGAGCGAAGGCGUUCCGCUCCAACCCCUGUGACAUACCUAUACGUUGCCUCGGCGGAUCAGCCCGGAAACGAAAAAAGGGACGGCCCGCCCGAGGACCCCUAAACUCUGUUUUUAGUGGAACUUCUGAGUAAAACAAACAAAUAAAUCAAAACUUUCAACAACGGAUCUCUUGGUUCUGGCAUCGAUGAAGAACGCAGCAAAAUGCGAUAAGUAAUGUGAAUUGCAGAAUUCAGUGAAUCAUCGAAUCUUUGAACGCACAUUGCGCCCGCCAGUAUUCUGGCGGGCAUGCCUGUUCGAGCGUCAUUUCAACCCUCAAGCUCAGCUUGGUGUUGGGACUCGCGGUAACCCGCGUUCCCCAAAUCGAUUGGCGGUCACGUCGAGCUUCCAUAGCGUAGUAAUCAUACACCUUUGUUACUGGUAAUCGUCGCGGCCACGCCGUAAAACCCCAACUUCUGAAUGUUGACCUCGGAUCAGGUAGGAAUACCCGCUGGACUUAAGCAUAUCAAUAAGGCGGAGGAA
rnacentral:rRNA from 1 species